rnacentral:ncRNA from 1 species
UGUCCUAGCUGAGUUAGAGAUCGGCUACGGAUGUAUUAUCAACCCUUAACGAAAAAAGGAUAUUAAAAUGUCUCUAAGCGUAGAAGCAAAAGCAAAAAUCGUUGCUGAAUUUGGUCGUGAUGCA